GCUCAUCCUCCUGCAUCAUGCAGGGAUUAGAUCGUCUUGCCCGGGAUGAACUCCGUGGAAGACGCUGUGGUCUCACCAGGAACCGGGGGCCCCCUUGUGUCCUGAAGCUGAAAAAUUAGUUUGGUGUCAGAUUGAUGUCCCCGCAGGUGAGUAUCAAGGUAAAUAAUAAGGUAAGUAAAAGUUUUGUGUGAAUAUUUUCUUAUAAAACAAGAAGAAAGGAACAAAAAACUG